rnacentral:rRNA from 1 species
UAAAACGUAGGGGGCGAGCGUUGUCCGGAAUUACUGGGCGUAAAGGGCGCGUAGGCGGUUAUCCAAGUCAGGGGUGAAAACCUUGGGCUCAACCCAGGGCCUGCCUCUGAAACUGGGUGACUUGAGGGCAGGAGAGGGGAGUGGAAUUCCCAGUGUAGCGGUGAAAUGCGUAGAUAUUGGGAGGAACACCAGUGGCGAAGGCGGCUCUCUGGCCUGUUACUGACGCUGAGGCGCGAAAGCGUGGGGAUCAAACAGGAUUAGAUACCCUGGUAGUCCACGCCGUAAACGAUGGGUGCUAGGUGUAGGAGGUAUCGACCCCUUCUGUGCCGUAGUUAACACAAUAAGCACCCCGCCUGGGGAGUACGGCCGCAAGGUUGAAACUCAAAGGAAUUGACGGGGGCCCGCACAAGCGGUGGAGCAUGUGGUUUAAUUCGACGCAACGCGAAGAACCUUACCAGGGUUUGACAUCCCCUGACAGCCUAUGAAAGUAGGUUUUCUAUCUUCGGAUAGACAGGGAGACAGGUGGUGCAUGGUUGUCGUCAGCUCGUGUCGUGAGAUGUUGGGUUAAGUCCCGCAACGAGCGCAACCCUCACGUUUAGUUGCCAGCGGGUGAGGCCGGGCACUCUAAACGAACUGCCGUUGACAAAACGGAGGAAGGUGGGGAUGACGUCAAAUCAUCAUGCCCCUUAUAUCCUGGGCUACACACGUGCUACAAUGGCCGGUACAAAGGGAAGCGAAGCUGUGAGGCGGAGCGGAUCCCAGAAAGCCGGUCUCAGUUCGGAUUGCAGGCUGCAACUCGCCUGCAUGAAGUCGGAAUCGCUAGUAAUCGCAGGUCAGCAUACUGCGGUGAAUACGUUCCCGGGCCUUGUACACACCGCCCGUCACAGCACGAAAGCUGACAACACCCGAAGCCGGUGACUUAACCCGCAAGGGAGAGAGCCGUCGAAGGUGGGGUUGGUGAUUGGGGUG